AGACAUAAGCGAUUUAUUGACAAGUAUAAAAGCUUCAAUAAAACCCGUUUUGAUGGAAAAGAACGUCCAAAUGUUCGAGAAAUAGGACCAAAAGAUCAAAAUGAUUUUGAUGGAGAGGUAGAUUUUAGGACAGAGCUUGAAGACCUAUUUAAAUGGCUGUUCAUGUCAAUCCCUAAACGGGAGAGGGCUGAACUAGGCCACAAUAUAACAGACAUGCUGAUUAGCUGUACAUUUAAUGGGAGGACGUGCUCUUCAAAGAUGUUCAAACUUCAUCAGACGACAGAAUAUGGUAAUUGCUGGUCAAUCAGUUCUGACAAAUUUAAAGUGAAACACCCAGGACCAUCUGGAGG